UACAGAGGUCUCAAGCGUUGUUCGGAUUCAUUGGGCGUAAAGGGUGCGUAGGCGGCGUGGUAAGUCGGAUGUGAAAUCUCGGAGCUUAACUCCGAAACUGCAUUCGAUACUGCCGUGCUUGAGGACUGGAGAGGAGACUGGAAUUUACGGUGUAGCGGUGAAAUUCGUAGAUAUUAGGAAGAACACCAGUGGCGAAGGCGGCUCACUGGCUCGGUACUGACGCUGAGGCGCGAAAGCGUGGGGAGCAAACAGG
rnacentral:rRNA from 1 species